rnacentral:rRNA from 1 species
UGACUGUAGGUGAAAGCUUACAUCUCUUCGGAGCAUUUUACGAGGUGCUGCAUGGUUGUCGGUCAGCUCGUGCCGUGAGGUGUCGGGUUAAGUCCCAUAACGAGCGCAACCCUACCUUUAGUUGCCAUCAGGUAAUGCUGGGGACUCUAAAGGAACUGCCUACGCAAGUAGUGAGGAAGGCGGGGAUGACGUCAAAUCAGCACGGCCCUUACGUCCAGGGCUACACACGUGCUACAAUGGCCGAUACAGAGGGCAGCUACCUGGUGACAGGAUGCAAAUCUCCAAAGUCGGUCUCAGUUCGGAUCGGAGUCUGCAACCCGACUCCGUGAAGUUGGAUUCGCUAGUAAUCGCGCAUCAGCCAUGGCGCGGUGAAUACGUUCCCGGGCCUU